rnacentral:tRNA from 1 species
GAAAAAUAAGCUAAUAAUAAGCUAUUGGACUCAUAAUUCAAAUAUAGAAUAAAUCUUUUUUCUA